rnacentral:rRNA from 1 species
GAUGAACGCUGGCGGCGUGCCUAAUACAUGCAAGUCGAGCGAAUGGAUUAAGAGCUUGCUCUUAUGAAGUUAGCGGCGGACGGGUGAGUAACACGUGGGUAACCUGCCCAUAAGACUAGGAUAACUCCGGGAAACCGGGGCUAAUACCGGAUAAUAUUUUGAACUGCAUGGUUCAAAAUUGAAAGGCGGCUUCGGCUGUCACUUAUGGAUGGACCCGCGUCGCAUUAGCUAGUUGGUGAGGUAACGGCUCACCAAGGCAACGAUGCGUAGCCGACCUGAGAGGGUGAUGGGCCACACUGGGACUGAGACACGGCCCAGACUCCUACGGGAGGCAGCAGUAGGGAAUCUUCCGCAAUGGACGAAAGUCUGACGGAGCAACGCCGCGUGAGUGAUGAAGGCCUUCGGGUCGUAAAACUCUGUUGUUAGGGAAGAACAAGUGCUAGUUGAAUAAGCUGGCACCUUGACGGUACCUAACCAGAAAGCCACGGCUAACUACGUGCCAGCCGCCGCGGUAA